GAGGCAACGUGCAAAGGGAGGUGAGGCUGCACAGCUAGCUGAAGAGCUCUGACUGCAUCCUGAAGGCUAGCAGACAGAGCAAGACACCUGAAGAGAAGCUUCCAGUGAUCAUCCUCCCCACAGAACACCAAAUUUUAACAACUAUUUACAUAAGAAAAGCACCUUUAUAAGAACCAAAAAUCAGGUCAGCACAAUCCCAACCUUAAAGAGGAGACAGCUGAUUGCAUCACUUACGACACACACCAGCCUGAGGCGGAAGAAGCCGGUCAGACACCUCUUGUCUGCUACGUGUGAGACACAUCAGCAGCUGAGUGUGACCCCUUCCACAGAGCUCACUGCAAAAUCACCAGCACACCACUGCAAUCCACUGAGCUCACCGCCUGUCCAGCCAUAAUGGAAGUCGCUUGAAGGUUAUCAUUGUAAUAGACGAUUUUCCAUAAGUAACUAAUAAAAAUGUUUUCUUUGCUGUUUAGACUAC